rnacentral:rRNA from 1 species
AGUGAACGCUGGCGGUAGGCCUAACACAUGCAAGUCGAACGGCAGCACAGUAAGAGCUUGCUCUUACGGGUGGCGAGUGGCGGACGGGUGAGGAAUACAUCGGAAUCUACUUUUUCGUGGGGGAUAACGUAGGGAAACUUACGCUAAUACCGCAUACGACCUACGGGUGAAAGCAGGGGAUCUUCGGACCUUGCGCGAUUGAAUGAGCCGAUGUCGGAUUAGCUAGUUGGCGGGGUAAAGGCCCACCAAGGCGACGAUCCGUAGCUGGUCUGAGAGGAUGGUCAGCCACACGGGAACUGAGACACGGUCCAGACUCCUACGGGGGGCAGCAGUGGGGAAUAUUGGACAAUGGGCGCAAGCCUGAUCCAGCCAUACCGGGUGGGUGAAGAAGGCCUUCUGGUUGUAAAGCCCUUUUGUUGGGAAAGAAAAGCAGCAGGUUAAUACCCCGCUGUUCUGACGGUACCCAAAGAAUAAGCACCGGCUAACUUCGUG